rnacentral:rRNA from 1 species
GACGAACGCUGGCGGCGUGCCUAAUACAUGCAAGUAGAACGCUGAAGGAGGAGCUUGCUUCUCUGGAUGAGUUGCGAACGGGUGAGUAACGCGUAGGUAACCUGCCUGGUAGCGGGGGAUAACUAUUGGAAACGAUAGCUAAUACCGCAUAAUAGUAGAUGUUGCAUGACAUUUACUUAAAAGGUGCAAUUGCAUCACUACCAGAUGGACCUGCGUUGUAUUAGCUAGUUGGUGGGGUAACGGCUCACCAAGGCGACGAUACAUAGCCGACCUGAGAGGGUGAUCGGCCACACUGGGACUGAGACACGGCCCAGACUCCUACGGGAGGCAGCAGUAGGGAAUCUUCGGCAAUGGACGAAAGUCUGACCGAGAAACGCCGAGUGAGGGAAGAAGGUUUUCGGAUCGGAAAGGUCGGUUGUAAGAGAAGAACGAGUGUGAGAGUGGAAAGUUCACACUGUGACGGUAUCUUACCAGAAAGGGACGGCUAACUACGUG